UUGUUGCAGUUGAGAGCUGGAAAUGUUAUUGAGAAGAAAGAUCGAAUUUACGAGGUCUUGAAAGUUGAUCAUUCGCAUGAAGGAAGGGGGAAAGCUACCAUAAAGGU